GGAAAGCGGAGGGGCCGGGGGCGGAGGGAGUCUGGGAACUUGAGCCCCGGGCGGAUCCACUUUCAGUUUUUAGGAACCGCUGAAUGUCACUGCCCCUUUCCACCGGGCUGGGGGAAGUCCUCAGCCUAGGCCUCCACUCCUUUGGCCUGCUCCUAUAGGAGCUCCCUGCUCCGUUUACUUCCAUGGAUUGGUGAGUAUUGAUGACUACCCGAUUGCAUAAACAGAGACUAUGGAAGGAAUUCUCCUUCGUCAUCGAAGAACUUGAAUUUUUUUAAAAAUUGUUUUAUUUUUAAGUCAGAGUUACGGAGAGAGGCAAGAGAGAUCUUCCAUCUGCUGGCUCACUCCCCAAAUGGUCACAGCGGCUGUGGCUGGGCCAGGCUGAGGCCAGGAGCUUCUUCUGGGUCCCCCACCUGGGUGCAGGGGCCCAAGCAGUUGGGCCCUCUAAUGCUGUUUUUCCCAGGCCACUAGCAGGGAGCUGGAUUGGAAGUGGAGCAGCUGGGACAUGAACCUGUGUCUGUACAGGAUGCCAGCUUUGCAGGCUGUGGCCUAACCUGCUGCACCACGACUCCGGCCCAAGCACUUGCACUUUUGACCUGCCUCCCCUCUCCACGUGCUUGUGAGGACCAAGUGGACUGGUGCCAGGGCAAGAUCAGAUUUUCAACCUCACUGGGACCAACAAUGAGUACCUUCUCCAUAGCAGGUGACUUCACCCAUCUGCACACCCCUCAAACCCUCCUCCUCCUCUGUUUCCUGGAGAAACUAGGUGCAAACAGGACGUGGAGACCUAAGUUUCUACCUGCAAACAUACCUGAAUUCAUUCUUCCCUCUGCGCCAGGAGCUGUGAAGAAGAUGCCCCCCCCCCCCAUUUUUUAAAAACACAAGUAUCCAUGUGCACCUAUGCUUUUUUAUGUAUGUAUGUAUGUAUGUAUGUAUUUGAAAGGCAGAGCUACAGAGAGGCAGAGGCAGAGAGAGAGAGAGAGAGAGGUCUUCUGUCUGCUAGUUCAUUCCCCAUAUGGCCACAAUGGCCGGAGCUGGGCCAAUCCAAAGCUAGGAGCCAGGAGCUGGGUCUCCCACACAGGUGCACUUGGACCAUCCUCUGCUGCUUUCCCAGACCAUUAGCAGAGAGCUGGAUCGGAAGUGGAACAGCUAGGACUGGCACCCACAUGGGAUGCCGGCACUGCAGGCGGCAGCUUUACCUGCUACGCCACAGCGCCGGCCCUGAAGAUGUUCCUCUUCUUCAAGGCCUAUCCCCCCUGGAUGUCAGCCCUCUGUGUUUCUGCAAGGCCCUCAUUUCAUCAUUCAUUUUCCAGCUAGGUUUGGAAUGUGCGAGGCACACUUCCAGGAACCCGGGAUGUGGCAGUGAAGAGAGCAGGCCCACCCCUGGCCUGGAGGAACUUGUACUGCGGUAGCGGCAGAGGGACAGCAGCCAGGAACUUUUGGGAGAACCCUCGUGUCUUGAAAACUUGCGUUUCCUGUUGACUUUCCCACUGAUGUUACUAGGCUCCAAAUUCUUCUCUUCAAGGCGUGGAAGUCUCUGGAGUGGGCUCCACUUCCUCUUGGUGCAGUUUUCCUGGCACGGCUGCAUGUACCGUGCUUCCCACCGUGAAUCUGCGACACCCGCGACUUGCCUUCUCUCUUGGACUUCUUCUUCUUCUUUUUUUUUUAAAGAUUUAUUUUAUUUAUUUGAAAAAGUUAUAGAGAGAGGUAGAGACAGAGAGAGAGAUCUUCCAUCUGUGGUUCAGUCCCCAAAUGGCAGCAACGGCUGGAGCUGAGCUGCUCCAAAACCAGGAGCCAGGAGCUUUUUCUGGGUCUCCCACGUGGGUGCAGGGGCCCAAGCACUUGGGCCAUCUUCUACUGUUUUCCCAGGCCACAGCAGAGAGCUAGAUCAGAAGAGGAGAAGCUGGGACUUGAACUGGCGCCCAUAUGGGAUGCUGGCGCUGCAGACCGGGGGUUUUAACCUGCUGUGCCACAGCACUGGCCCCUCUUGGGAUUCUGAUGCGGUCAUUCCUGAGUCUUCUGGCACCAAAUCUGACAGUCACUCUUUAUACGGAGUCGGUUCCUUGGCUUUCUGAAAGCCUGAUUGUUCUCAUCGGGCCCUCCUGCCACUCUGUCCCCACCAUGGGGCUUGCAACACGUGGCUUCUCCAGUUUUCUGCCUCACCUCCCCGCCCUGGAAGCCCCUCCUUGGUCCUCUUCAUUUCUAGUGCAGCUGUGGCAGGGGGCUGUUCGUGUGCAGGCUGAGGAGUCCGUGGGAUAACUCCUGAUUGGCCUGGUUUUCUAGCUGUGAGACAUGAAAUGAUACAUUGGUUUCAUCAUUGCUAGGGUUUGGGUAACAGUUUUAUUGUCCUCCCAAGGCCCGUGCUGUGGGUGGGUACUCUAGGUCUUCUGUUCAUGGUUGACGGGUUAAGGUGGAGACCUGAUUUAACCAUGGCUUCUGAGAGGCGGGCCUGGCAGGAAGUGGUUGGGUCACUGGGGGUGUGCCCUCAGAAGGUAGCUCUCUUGUGAGGGUUGGUUGUUCAAGCCAGGGGUGCUUCCUGCCUCACCGUGUGGUUGUCCCUUUACACUUGCUCUGUCAGUGCCAGCCUCCAUCAGACGCUGGAUCAGUGGGCCACCUGACCUUAGCCUGGGAACCUCCCCAACCAUCAACCAAAAUAAACCCUCCUUCCCGAGUAGCUUCUCUCAGGUGCUUUAGUUAAGGUAAUGGAAAGCUGACACAUUCAUAUAUAUAUAUAUAUAUUUUUUUUUUUUUUUAAAUGGUGAUAGCAGUAGUACCUACCUCUUAGGCUUGAGGAUUCAACAUGUUAAUAUGCUUAAAAAGCUUACAGCAGGUUUCAGUAGAUUAAGAUCCUGGCCUGCAGCACCAACAUCCCAUGUGGGUGGGGUAUGAGUCCCAGCUGUUCCACUUCUGAUCCAGCUCCCUGCUAACAUGCCUGGGAAAGCAGCGGAACAUGAUCCAUGGCCUGAUGGUGACAGCAUCUGUAUUUUCACACACCAGCUGCCUCCUUAGGCGUUCCAUCUGCAUCUCAACCCCAACAGAUCCAACAUUUAACUCACCUUUUUCCUCCCAGUCUGCCUGCUUGUCUUGUAUUCCAUAUACUUGUGAAUGGCACCACCAUUCACCCAAUUCCUGGCCAGAAAUUUGGCAGUUUCUAGCUUCUCUGACUGCCCUCAUCCUUUUUAAGGUAUUUAUGUUUUGCCCUUAUUCUUCAUUUAAAAAAAAAGAUUUAUGUAUUUGAAAGGCAGAGUUUACAGACACACACAUAUACAUCUUCUAUCCAUUGGUUCACUACCUAAAUGGCCACAAUGGCUGGAAAUCCCAUCUGGUCCUCCUGCAUGGGUGGCAGGGGCCCAAGUACCCGGGCUGUCUUCUGUUGCGUUCCCAGGAGCUUUAGUGGGGAUCUGGAUGAGAAGUGCAGCAGCUGGGACUUGAACUAGUGCUUCGAUGCCAGCGUUGCAGGUGGGGGUUUAACUCACUGCACCACAACACCAGCCCCAAGAAAAGGGGUUUCUCUUGCCUCCCAGUUCUUCUCCAAGGCCAGGGGACCCCAUCUGGUGAUGACCUUCUUGCUACUUGGCUCCUGGGGCAGAGCAGGACAUCAUAUGUCACCUAGUGAUAGACAGGGAAGGCUUGAAAGACUAGCCAAUGUGGCUUUUAUAGCAAACCCACACUCAAGAUAACCCAUUAGCCCACUUAUAUGUUAACCACAUGGAUAGAUUAAUCCAUUCGAAGAACAGAGCCCAGUUACCUCUUACAGUUCCCACACUUGGCCCCAGCGUUGUCAUUACAGGCUAAUCCCUGCCUGCGACACUGGCAUCCCACAGUGGGGGCCAGCUGGAGUCUCAGAUGUUCCAGUUCCUAUCCAGGUCCCUGCUAUUGCACUUGGGAAAGCAGCAGAAGAUGACUCAAGGGCUUUGGCCCCUGCCACCCAUGUGGGAGAUCCAGAUGGACUUCCUGGCUCCUGGGUUUGGUGUGGCCCAAUCCUGGCUGUUGCAGCCAUCUGGAGAAUGAACAGGCAGAUGGAAGAUCCUGCCCUCUCUCUCUCUCUCUCUGUAGCUCUGCUUUUCUAUUUAUUUAUUUAUUUAUUUUGACAGGCAGAGUGGACAGUGAGAGAGACAGAGAGAAAGGUCUUCCUUUUGCCUUUGGUUCACCCUCCAAUGGCUGCCGCGGCCGGCGCGCUGCGGCCAGUGCACGGCGCUGAUCCAAUGGCAGGAGCCAGGUGCUUCUCCUGGUCUCCCAUGGGGUGCAGGGCCCAAGCACUUGGGCCAUCCUCCACUGCACUCCCUGGCCACAGCAGAGAGCUGGCCUGGAAGAGGGGCAACUGGGACAGAAUCCGGCGCCCUGACCGGGACUGGAACCUGGUGUGCUGGCACCACAAGGCGGAGGAUUAGCCUAGUGAGCUGCGGCACCGGCCGUUUUUCUUUCUAUCUUUCUUUUUUUAAAGGCAAAAUUAGAGAGGGAGGUGGGGACACACACACACACACACACACACAGAGGCAGAGACAGAGGUCUUCUAUGUGCUGUUUUACUCCCCACUUGGCUGCAGCAGCAGGGAUGAUCCAGGCUGAAACCAGGAGCCAGAGCUUCUUCCGGAUCUCUCAUGUGGGUGCAGGGACCCACUUGGGCCCACUUGGGCCAUCUUCUGCUGCUUUCCCAGGUGCAUUAACAGGGAGCUGGAUCCAGAAGUGGAGCAGCCGGGACACAAAGCUGCACCCUUAUGGGAUGCCGUGCUGCAGAGGCAGCUUAACCUGCAGUGCCACAGUGCCAGCCCAGCUCUGCUUUUCAAAUGAAUAGGUGAAUCUUAAAAAAAAAAAAAAAAAAAGGUCCCACCUCUUAAUAUCUGGUAACCACAUCCCCCACAGCUGUGGGAGUGCGCUUUGUGGGGCUGCGGUUUGUGACGGCUCCCUUGGGGUCAGAUUCUUCAUCCAGACAUCCGGUGCCUUCAUUGUUCCAGGAUGUCCAGUUGCCCUUGUCUUCACUGCCCCCACUGUGGCCUUCAAGCCAGCUUUGGGGAAACUGGCUACAGAUUAGAUCUGUGACUUUUUUAUUUAAUAGAUUUAUUCAUGUAUUUGAAAGAGUUCCAGAGAAAGAGAGGAGAGAGAAAGACAGAGAUAUCGAGAGAUCUUCCAGCUGCUGGUUCACUCCACAAAUGGCCACAAUGGCUGUGGCUGGGCCAGGCCAAAGCCAGGAGCCAGGAGCUUCUUCUGGGUCUCCCACAUGACUCGAGUGACAGUCAGUGUGGCUGAUUUGUCACAGCAGUCCUAGCAAACUAAUCCUGAGGUGAGGGGCAGCUGCUGUACUCACUGAACAGAGCAGAAAUCACUGUCGCCCUGGUCCCAGAGCUGCUGUGUGCAGCAGCAGGACAGGAUGGAGGUGGAGGGUGGGCAAGUCCCGCCCUAAGAAGGCGGAGCUAUCCAGCUCAGUCGGAGAGGCUGUCCUCCCGGGAGGCAGUACAGGAGAGAGCCUCACAGGCAGCCUCCCAGCCUAGCCCACCUGCUGAGCCUUUGGAGCUGUCCAGCGCCUCGAGCGAAGUGCCCCAUACAGCUAGUCCAAGACCCUCCCGCCCCAUGCUCUCCAGCCUGUGUCAGUGUGUGGACAGUGCAAAGUCCAGCCCCUUCGGUCCAGCCUCUCCUUUGCCUUCAAAAGGCAGGAAGCCUAAAGCACAGUUCCCGUUCCCCCAUACUCUGCAUUCCUCUCCGGUCAAGGGUGCACGCAGACUUGUUUUACACAGAGGACAUGAAAGGGCCCUGGUACUGAUUUUCUCAAAGCCCAGAAUCCGCCAGCCACGGGAGGGACUGAAGUCUCCCCUCGAGUAAUGGACAAGAACGUGAUGGUUCUCCUUCUUCUCCUUACCAGUUUCAAAAGUCACAGAUCUGGGGCCGGUGCUGCGGCACAGCAGGUUAAGCCGCUGUCUAGUGCCAGCAUCCCAUGUGGACGCCGGUUCCAGUCCUGGCUACUCCUCUUCUGGUCCAGCUCCCUGCUAAUGGCCUGGGAAAGCAGCGGAAGAUGGCCCAGGUGCUCUGUGACGGCGGCGACAAUGAUUGCUGCUCUGUGCGGUGAGUACAUCAGCUGCCCCUCACCUCGGGGUGGGCAAGGGGGUUAGUUUGCUAGGACUGCUGUGACAAAUCAAUCACACUGACUGUCACUCGAGUCACACGGGUGACUCCAAAUGACAGAGAUUUAGUGUCCACAGUUCCCGAGGCCCAAAGUCAAGGUGUGGGCUGGGCCACGCUCGCCCCGAGGUCUGCAGGGCAAGGGAGGGUCCCUCCUGCCUCUCCAGCUUGUCACAGCCACAGGCCUUCCUCUCCACAAUGUCCCCGAGCCCCAGGCCUCUUUGUUCACGAGGACACUAGCCCAGGGUGACCUCAUCUCUAUUUAUUUAUUUGUUUAUUUGAAACAGUUGCAGAAAGAGAGAGAGAGAGAGAGAGAGAGAGAGAGAGAGAGAAUCUUCCAUCCUCUGGUUCACUCCCCAAAUGGCCAUGGCCAGGCUGAAGCCAGGAGCCAGGAGCUUCCUCCGAGUCUCCCAUGUGGGUCAGGGGCCCAAGGACCUGGGCCAUCCUCCGCUGCUUUCCCAGGCACAUUAGCAGGGAGCUGGCUGGGAAGUGGAGCAGCCGGGAUUCCAACGGGCUCCCGCAUGGGCCACCAGUGCUGCAGGCCGGCCACAGUGCCCUCAGAGACCCUGUUUCCCCGUCAGCCGCACUGACAGGCGGUGGGGACCAGGGCUUGAAUGCAUCUCAGGGGACACGCUGUCCUCCCUCCUCCCUCCCUUCUGUAAGCCCUGCUCCUGGUCUGACUGUGCUGCUGCCCCUUCCUCGGGCCGCUGGCUCCAGGCGCUUGCUCGCGCCCCUUCACAGCCAGCUCUGGCCCUUGUCUUCCUCUGUAUUCUCUGCCUCAUUCUCGGUGAGCCAGCAGCCAUGUGGACUCCCCUUGGCAGCCCUCGGGCCGUCAGCCACUUCCUCCCUGUGUGCCAUUGCCCACCUACUCACGUCUCCUUGUUCUUGCCCGAGCUUGCUGUUGCUAUUUUCUCUCCUUUGCCAACUUGCCCGGUUCCUCUGCCCCUCCUUCCCGCCAAUGCUCUUGCCUGGAAACACCUGACCCUGACCCUCCCCCUCCCCCUGCCUACGCCACCUCAUCCACCCACUCAGGUGAGUGAUGGGGAGGUGGGUGCAUUGAGCCCCCUUUCUGCUCAUGACCACAGACCCCAGAGGGACACACUGCGCCACCUGGUGUUGCUGUAAUUUCCCUACUACGAUUAGUCCCCACUGUAUGAAUUUUCUUUUCUCUCUCUCUCUUUCUUUCUUUCUUUCUUGACAGGCAGAAUUAGACAGAGAGAGAGAGAUAGAGAGAGAAAGGUCUUCCUUCCGUUGGUUCCCCCCCCCCCCCCCCAGAUGGCUGCUAUGGCCAGCGCGCUGUGCCGAUCCGAAGCCAGGAGCCAGGUGCUUCCUCCUGGUCGCCCACAUGAGUGCAGGGCUCAGGGACCUGGGCCAUCCUCCACUGCCUUCCCGGGCCACAGCAGAGAGCUGGACUGGAAGAGGAGCAACCAGGACAGAAUCCGGCGCCCCAACCAGGACUAGAACCCGAGGUGCUGGCGCUACAGGCAGAGGAUUAGCCUAGUGAGCCGUGGCGCUGGCCCAUGUAUGAAUUUUCGAUUGCUGCACAGCAAAUGUCCAGGAAAUCAGUGGCUUAAAACAUCACUCAACAGGGUAAGCCACUGCCUGUGAUGCCAGUCUCCAGUACCAGUGCUGGUUCGAGUCCUGGCUGCUCCACUUCAGGUCCAGCUCCCUGCUAAUGCAUCUGGGAAAGCAGGGGAAGAUGGCCCAAGUGCUUGGGCCCCUGCACCCACGUGGGAGACCCUGGUGGAGCUCCAGGCGCCUGGCUUCGGCCUGGCCCAACCCUAGCUGCUGCAGCCAUUUGGGGAAUGAACAAACAUGGAUGAAAGAUCUCUCUCUGUCUCUCUGUGAUGCUGCCUUUUAAAUAAAAAGAUUUAAAAAAAUUUUUUUAAACAACACCCAUUUAUUAUCUCACAGCAUGUAGUCACAAGUCCUGGUGGGCCCAGCUGGUUCUGUGGUCAGGGUCUCACCCGGCCGUCCAGGUGUCGGCAGGGCUGGGCGCCUGUCUGGAGGCUCAGGACAGUGAUCCUCUUCCAAGCUUGCUCAGGGUGUAGGUAGAAUGUGGUGCUCAUGGCUGUGGGGGUGAGGCCCUGCCUCCUUUCUGGCUGCCCGCAGGGGCCUGCCCCCUCCUGGGGGCUCUGUGUGCCUUUUCUGUAGCCAUUCACCUGUGCUUCACACCCUCUGUGCUCACGCUUCUGCUGCUCCCCGGGAAGAGCUCUCUGCCUUUAAAACCUUGUGUGAUGAGAUCUGGCCUGCCCGGGCAGUCUCGGAGCCCAGCCUGCUCCCAAGUUCCAGGGACGAGUGGGGGCGGGGUGUGCCUCUCGGGAAUCCGGCUGUCACUCUCGCUCCCUUAUCUGUCUCUGGGGUUUCCCUUUUGCAGACCUGCCCUUGCACUUGUGCUUCCUUUAGAAAACAGAGGCCACCGCUGUGCGAAGCCUGGAGCCUCCGGGGUCACAGGGGUCACAACCUCCACUCAUCCGCUCACACCCACCUUGGCUCCGUAGCUCUCAUCCUCCCCACUCGCCUUCCUGCAACUGUUUUUUUUUUUUUUUAAAUAGAACUAAGAGUCAAUUUUUUAAAAAAGAUUUAUUUAUUUAUUUAUUUGAAAGAGUUACAGAGAGGCAGAGACAGAGAGAGAGAGGUCUGCCAUCUGCUGGUUCACUCCCCAAUUGGCCGCAAUGGCUGGAGUUGCACCAAUCCAAAGCCAGGAGCCAGGAGCCUCCUCCAAGUCUUCCAUGCGGGUGCAGGGCCCAAGGACUUGGACCAUCCUCCACUGCUUUCCCAGGCCAUAGCAGAGAGCUGGAUUGGAAGUGGAGCAGCUGGGACUCGAACCGGUACCCAUAUUGGAUGCCAGAGCUGCAGGCAGUGUGACUUUACCUGCUACACCACAGCACUGGCCCUCCUGUAAUUCUUAUGCUUCAUCUGCUUCUCCCUCUUCUUCAUUUGUCUUUCCCUGUCUCCAGGAUUCAUUGCCAUCCACAUCUUUUUUUUUUUUUUUUAAGUUUAUAUAUAUAGAGAGAUCUCCCAUCUACUGGUUCAUUCCCCAAAUGGCUGUGAUGUCCUGGAGUGGGCUGGGCCUGGCAGAAGCCAGGAGCUAGGAGCUUCAUCCAGGUCUCCCACGUAGGUGGCAGGGGUACAAAUACUCAGGCUGUUUUCCGCUGCUUUCCCAGGCAGGCACAUUAUCAGGGAGCUGGAUCAGAAGUGGAGCAGCCAGGACUUGAACAGGUGGCAGCUAUGACACAAUGCCAGCCAGGUAUUGGCAUCUUAAAAAAGAGCCCAAAAGCUCCCAUGCCAGCUGCAGCCACACUUGCUGAAGUCUCCACUUUCCCAUUCGCUCACUCUGAUCUGGCGUUCCUUACGCCUGCUCCGCUGAGCUGCUUGUGUCGGAGUCGCAGUUCCCGUUACCCAUGGCUGUACAACGAGCCCCUCCAAGGAACCACGUGUCUCAUGUGUCUGUGCUUGGCUGGGCCCCGCUGCAAAGCUCUCACUUGAGGGUCACUCUCCGUGCUGGGACCUUGGACAUCCAACAUGGCUCCCUCCCAUGACUGGCAGUUGGUGGAGGCUGUUGGCCGACACUUAACUGGUGCUGUUGACUAGGGUGCCUGUGCCCAGCCCUCUGUGUCAUUUGGGCUUCCAAGAAUAGCAGCCGGUUCCAACAGGAAGUGUCCAAGGAGUGAGCAGGCCUUGCCCCCUUUCCCAUAGCCCUCCUGGAUCGGGCAGAGGUGUCGACCAGCCCGCUUUGCCAGGACUCUGCAGGACUCAGGCCCCAGGUUUGCUCAUGGGACGAUGAGGGAAUGACGCUUGGCUUCUUUCUUUUUUCUUUUUUCUUUUUUUUUUUGACAGGCAGAGUGGACAGUGAGAGAGAGACAGAGAGAAAGAUCUUCUUUUGCUGUUGGUUCACCCUCCAAUGGCCACCACGGCCGGUGCACCGCACUGAUCCAAAGGCAGGAGCCAGGUGCUUCUCCUGGUCUCCCUUGGGUGCAGGGCCCAAGCACUUGGGCCAUCCUCCACUGCACUCCCUGGCCACAGCAGAGAGCUGGCCUGGAAGAGGGGCAACCGGGACAGAAUCCGGUGCCCCGACCGGGACUAGAACCCGGUGUGCCGGCGCCGCAAGGCGGAGGAUUAGCCUAGUGAGCCGUGGCGCUGGCUGCUUGGCUUCUUUCACACACGUGUCCUUCUCAGCACACGAGCUGCAGGUUCAGGGAAGAGAGGGCCAUGGCGCUGGGGAGGUGAGGAGGCCGGCACGUGUUAGUGCAGGUGCCAUACCCCCUCCUGGAGAGCCCUCUGCCUGCUGCCACUAGGUGUCCCUGGUCCUAGGUGACCCUGCCAUGACCUCCUGCGUGGACACCACCACUGCGAUCCAGAAAUGGGGCACAGGGAGGGCCUUCUGAGGAAGGAGUUGGUGCUCUAAGUUAGGGGCACAGAUGGCUGAAGGCGGACUUGGGAGAGCAGUGAGGAGGCCCAGGAGGUGGGUGGGGUGCAGUCUGGGGCACAUGUGUGCAGAGGAGCCCGCGCUGGCCCCGGGCUCCCAUAAAUACCCAAGUCACCACAGAUGUCCAGCCUCCCCAAGACUGGAGUGGGGCUGAUGGCCAUCAGGGCGUGCCGCUGAAAGCAUGCGACAGCCCUGGCCCUGCAUGGUCCUUCCUGGUCAGCAGGCUCACGCGGGAGGCCUGAGAGCCUGCUCCCCUCCCUCCUUUCCUGCCUUUCUGCAGCCAUGGCCAUGGCCCUCAGCUGCCCCUCCCUACCCGGGGCCUCAGUCCUGCGCUUGGCUCUAGAGGGCAAGGCCACCACCCCAGCACCUGGGCGUGGCUUCUGCAGGUGCCCGGAGUGCACACCGGCCUCAGCGGGAGCCCUACAGCGAGCUUCCACCAGUAACUUCCUGAAGGAUCUCGGAGCUUCAACCUUUGAAAAAAUUUACUUAUUUUCAUUUUAUUUGAAAGGCAGAGAAAGAGAGAGAGGGAGAGAGAGGUUUCCUAUAUGCUGGUUCACUCACCAAACGCUUGUGGGCCAGGCCAAAGCUAGGAGUGUAGAACUCACAUCUGAGUCUCCCACGUGGGGGCAGGGACCUGUGUACCUGAGCCAUCAUCUGCUGCCUUUAAGAAUGUCCCCUGAGGGGGAACCUGGAUCACAGGCGGAGUGGCUGGGACUGGAACCAGGCACUCUGUCUGAUACGGGAUGUAGGCAUCCCAAGUGCCUGCCUCUUUAAGACACUACUUGGAACAGCCACAUCCCAUACCCACGCACCUGGGUUCAAGUCCCGGCUGUGUUCUCGAUUCCAGCUCCUGCCAGUGGGCACCCUGGGACGCAGCACCUGAUGGCUCAGGUAGUUGGGUCCCUGCGUGAGUUCCUGGCUUCUGACUCCUGGCUUUGGCCUAGCCCAGCCCCAGCUAUUGCAGGGAUAUGGGCGAAUAAGGCAGUGGAUGGGAGGUCUUUGUUGCUGCCUUUCAGAUAAACAGUUAAAAAAAUCCCUUUCUGUCCUCACCCUCCCCGGACAACCACUAAUCUUAUUCCUACCUCUACAGAUUUGCCUUUCUUGGACAUUUACGUAAAUGGAUUCAUGCACUGUGUGUUUUUCUGUGUGUCUGACUUCUCUCAUGGACAAUAUUAUUGAAGUUCAUCCAUGCUGUAA